rnacentral:rRNA from 1 species
UACAGAGGGUGCGAGCGUUGUCCGGAAUCACUGGGCGUAAAGGGCGCGUAGGUGGUGGCUUAAGCGUGCGGUGAAAGCUCGGGGCUCAACCCCGAGUCGGCCGUGCGAACUGGGCUCACUGGAGCAUAGUAGAGGCAGGUGGAAUUCCGGGUGUAGCGGUGGAAUGCGUAGAGAUCCGGAAGAACACCGGUGGCGAAGGCGGCCUGCUGGGCUAUGGCUGACGCUGAGGCGCGAAAGCGUGGGGAGCGAUCCGG